CACUCCAGCCCCAUAAUCAGUGGUAAUCCAUUUCCACACUCCUUUCCCUUUAGUCCAGGCUUCCUCAAACUCGGGCCCUCCAUGUGUUGCUGAACUGCAACUACCAUGAUUCUAUGAAUUAGAUAGUCUGAGAAUCAUGGGAGUUGUGGUUCAGCAACAUCUGGAGGGCCAGAGUUUAGGGAAGCCUGCUUUAGCCAGUAGUAGAUCAGUCUCCCCUCACCCUCCAUUCUCAAGAAUUUCACAUUGAUUUUAUUUGAAGAUAAAGUUUAGAUUUUCAUUUUGAAAGAACUCCUUUGACACUGAAGAAACCUGGUCAUUUCAGACAAUGAAUGGAUAGUGUGAACUCUUCUCAAAUUCUUCUGGAAAAAAAAAAAGAAAUGGCAUCAACAUACUCGUUAAC